UGAGAAAAUAUUAAAGUCGUUGUUACGUCUAACAAUUCACUAGUCUAAACAAGAAUACCUGCGUUUCAAAAUACUGUACGUCCGCAGCUUGAAUUUUUAAGGACAGGAAAAGCUGGAGCACAGUUGUCAGAAUGUUUUCAAAAUUGAACCAUCUAAGAGAUGUGACUGGGUACACAACACAACAGCUUGUGAUGAUCACAGUGUCUUACUUUCAUAUACUGCUUUUCUGUUUUGCAAUUUUGAUGACUCUACCUUCUAUAUAGGAGUGUUUAUAAUGGCUGGUAUACUCGCUGUGCUCUUUAUUAUACUGGCAACAACAGCUGAUGAAUUAACAUAUAGCUGCAGUAACUAUUCUGGCUUUUGGCAAUGGUUCAGCAGACAUCUUUACCUCUUUGGCUGGAGCACUAAGUGGACAUUCAGAACUGGUCUUCGCUGAACUUCUAGGCUCUGGAAUCCUUAUAACAACAGUUGUAGUGGGCAUUAUUUGUAUAAUGAAUCCAAUAUAUUUGUUUGGUCGCCCUUUCCUUCGAGACAGCAUAUUUUACAUCAUAGCGAUCACAUGGAUAAUUUGUG